AUAAUUAGUUGUUACAUUAUUGUAAUUUUGUGAGUGUAAUUGCUAAGGGUUUGGUAUUAGACUAUCAGUAUCACUUGAUGUGUUUUCAGAUCUAGAUCAAAAUAGGGAAAAGUUUGAACACAAUGGAAAACCAAAUGAUCAGAGUGGUUAGGGAAAUGUUCAAAUGUGAUGAAAAACAAAAUGACCAGAACAGUAAGGGAAAUGGUCAAAUGUGAUGAAAACCAAAUGACUAGAGCAGCUAGAAUUGCAGUAGUCUGACCAGUGCAGGUGGGCAUUUAAGUUGUUUGAUUUUUGCUCUGACGUUUUAAACUACUGAAGGCCAGUUCAAUGUAGGUUGGGCUGUUUAAAAUAGUCUGAUUUUCAGGUUGGAUCUGUGUAGGUAAUCUGAUUUUGGGCAACCUGG
rnacentral:misc_RNA from 1 species